rnacentral:rRNA from 1 species
AUUGAACGCUGGCGGCAGGCUUAACACAUGCAAGUCGAGCGGUAGCACAGGGGAGCUUGCUCCCUGGGUGACGAGCGGCGGACGGGUGAGUAAUGUCUGGGAUACUGCCUGAUGGAGGGGGAUAACUACUGGAAACGGUAGCUAAUACCGCAUAACGUCGCAAGACCAAAGAGGGGGACCUUCGGGCCUCUUGCCAUCAGAUGUGCCCAGAUGGGAUUAGCUAGUAGGUGGGGUAAUGGCUCACCUAGGCGACGAUCCCUAGCUGGUCUGAGAGGAUGACCAGCCACACUGGAACUGAGACACGGUCCAGACUCCUACGGGAGGCAGCAGUGGGGAAUAUUGCACAAUGGGCGCAAGCCUGAUGCAGCCAUGCCGCGUGUGUGAAGAAGGCCUUCGGGUUGUAAAGCACUUUCAGCGAGGAGGAAGGUGGUGAGCUUAAUACGCUCAUCAAUUGACGUUACUCGCAGAAGAAGCACCGGCUAACUCCGUG